AUAGAGAGAAUCGAGGGUAUAGAGAGUAUAGAGUAUAGAGUAUAGAGAGUAUAGAGGGUAUAGAGGAUAUAGAGUAUAGAGGGUAGAGAGUAUAGAGAGAAUAGAGGGUAUAGAGUAUAGAGAGAAUAGAGUAUAGAGAGUAUAGAGGGUAUAGAGUAUAGAGAGUAUAGAGGGUAUAGAGAGUAUAGAGGGUAUAGAGUAUAGAGGGUAUAGAGAGUAUAGAGGGUAUAGAGGGUAUAGAGUAUAGAGAGUAUAGAGAGUAUAGAGUAUAGAGGGUAUAGAGUAUAGAGGGUAUAGAGAGGGUAUGGAGAGAGUAUGGAGAGCAUAUGAAGAGUGUAUGGAGAGAGUAGGGAUGUCCCAACAAAAGAGACUUUGGUAAAAAGUCAGUACCAACAUUCUUAAAACGUGACGGUACUUGUUUUUCUGCAGUAGUGUGGGUACCGGUUGUAAUUACGGUAACGAGGUUGCAAUUCUUCCGGACCUGAUGGGGGCAGCAAAUUCACGCAAGUGUUUUAGUCAGUCCACAAGUGGUGUAGAAGAAGAGGAACGCCUACAAGCACACGGGAAAAACUACAGAAACGGCUACAAGUAAAUCUUUCUGGCCUGCCACCAUAUCAGUGAAUUUAAACUAAUGCUUGCAUUCAGAGUAUAAGGGGUGUGUGUGUGUG
ensembl:lncRNA